rnacentral:rRNA from 1 species
ACAGCAGUCGCCGCGGUAAUACGGAGGGUGCAAGCGUUAAUCGGAAUUACUGGGCGUAAAGCGCACGCAGGCGGUCUGACAAGUCAGAUGUGAAAUCCCCGGGCUUAACCUGGGAACUGCAUUUGAAACUGUCAGGCUGGAGUCUUGUAGAGGGGGGUAGAAUUCCAGGUGUAGCGGUGAAAUGCGUAGAGAUCUGGAGGAAUACCGGUGGCGAAGGCGGCCCCCUGGACAAAGACUGACGCUUAGGUGCGAAAGCGUGGGGAGCAAACAGGAUUAGAUACCCGAGUAGUCCCUGUCUCUUAUAC